rnacentral:rRNA from 1 species
UUGACCUCGAUCAGGUAGAUCCCAAC